GUUUAUUCUUUGUAAAAACAUUGACCGGGUUACCUAAAUUGAGAAAUGUUGUGAAAUAGCAACUUGUAUGACAAAAUAGCCAACUUGGAUGAAAGACGAGACAGGGGGGAUAUGAUAGAAACAUUUAAAUACAUAAAGGGAAUCAACACAGUAGAGGAGGAGAAAAUAUUUAAAAGAAGAAAAACUACCACAACUAGAUAACAUAGUCUUAAAUUAGAGGGGCAAAGGUUUAAAAAUAUUUUCAGGAAGUAUUACUUUACAGAGAGGGUAGUGGGUGCAUGGAAUAGCCUUCCAGCUGAAGUGGUAUUGGUUAACAAUGUGAGGGAGUUUGAACAUGUGUGGGAUAGGCAGAAGGAUAUCUUAGCUAUAAGAUUAGGCCAGGGACUAAUGAAAGUAUUUAGAAAAUUGGGCAGACUAGAUGGGCCGAAUGGUUCUUAUCUGCCAUCACAUUCUAUGUUUCUAUGUAACUUACAAUACAAAACAUCUUGUAAG